GUCUAUGGCCAUGCCACCCUGAACCUGCCCAAUCUUGUCUGAUCUCGGAAGCUUAGCUGGGUCGGGCCUGGUUAGUACUUGGAUGGGAGACCACCUAGGAAGACCAGGUGCUGUAGACA
rnacentral:rRNA from 1 species